GAUGAACGCUGGCGGCGUGCCUAAUACAUGCCAGUCGAGCGAACAGACGAGGCGCUUGCUCCUCUGACGUUAGCGGCGGACGGGUGAGUAACACGUGGAUAACCUACCUAUAAGACUGGGAUAACUUCGGGAAACCGGAGCUAAUACCGGAUAAUAUAUUGAACCGCAUGGUUCAAUAGUGAAAGACGGUUUUGCUGUCACUUAUAGAUGGAUCCGCGCCGCAUUAGCUAGUUGGUAAGGUAACGGCUUACCAAGGCAACGAUGCGUAGCCGACCUGAGAGGGUGAUCGGCCACACUGGAACUGAGACACGGUCCAGACUCCUACGGGAGGCAGCAGUAGGGAAUCUUCCGCAAUGGGCGAAAGCCUGACGGAGCAACGCCGCGUGAGUGAUGAAGGUCUUCGGAUCGUAAAACUCUGUUAUUAGGGAAGAACAAAUGUGUAAGUAACUAUGCACGUCUUGACGGUACCUAAUCAGAAAGCCACGGCUAACUACGUG
rnacentral:rRNA from 1 species